rnacentral:rRNA from 1 species
AAACCAACAGGGAUUGCCUUAGUAACGGCGAGUGAAGCGGCAAAAGCUCAAAUUUGAAAUCUGGGGUCUUUGGCCUCCGAGUUGUAAUUUGAAGAAAGUAUCUUUGGAUUUAGCCUUUUUCUAAGUUCCUUGGAACAGGACUUCAUAGAGGGUGAGAAUCCCGUAUGGAGAAGUGUCUAUUUCUAUGUAAAGUGCUUUCGACGAGUCGAGUUGUUUGGGAAUGCAGCUCUAAGUGGGUGGUAAAUUCCAUCUAAAGCUAAAUAUUGGCGAGAGACCGAUAGCGAACAAGUACAGUGAUGGAAAGAUGAAAAGAACUUUGAAAAGAGAGUGAAAAAGUACGUGAAAUUGUUAAAAGGGAAGGGCUUCAGAUCAGACUUGAUGUUUAGUGAUCCAUCUUCCUUUUUGGUUGGUGCACGCGCUUUUCAUUGGGCCAACAUCGAUUUGAGUGGUAGGAUAAUGCCGUUGGAAUGUAGCUUCAUUCGUGAAGUGUUAUAGACUUCGGUGAUACUGCCCAUUUGGAUCGAGGACUGCGUCUUUUGACUAGGAUGUUGGCGUAAUGAUCUGAAGC